UCAAGAAAGAAAGGGCAUACGGUGGAUGCCUAGGCGCUAAGGGCCGAAGAAGGGCGCGGUAAGCUGCGAAAAGCCACGAGGAGCCGCAAGCAGGCAUUGAUUCGUGGGUACCCGAAUGGGGCAACCCGGCGGAGCAAACCUCCGUCACCCUAUGCUGAAUCCAUAGGCAUAGAGGAGGGCACCCGGGGAACUGAAACAUCUAAGUACCCGGAGGAAGAGAAAGAAACAUCGAACCCCCAAGUAGCGGCGAGCGAAAAGGGGCGAGCCUAAACCAGAAUUCUUCGGAAAUCUGGGGUUGCGGGACCCUCAUCACGUGAUAACUAGACCUAGUCGAAGACACCUGGAAAGGUGCUGCACAGAAGGUAAAACACCUGUAGACGAAAGGUUGAACAUUACAGAGGAAAUCCCAAGUACCGCGGGACACGAGAAACCCCGUGGGAAUCAGGGGGGACCACCCCCCAAGGCUAAAUACCCAUAGCGACCGAUAGUGAACCAGUACCGUGAGGGAAAGGUGAAAAGCACCCCGGGAGGGGAGUGAAAAAGAACCUGAAACCGUAUGCCUACAAACUGUCGGAGCACUAUUCGAGGUUCGCGGGUCAAGUAAAAAAGACCCUAAAGGAAUGCGUGUAUCGAACCACGAACUUCGAACAUCGAACUUCGAAGUGUGACGGCGUACUUUUUGUAGAACGGACCGGCGAGUUACAUCUAACGUGCAGGUUAAGGCAGGAAAGCCGGAGCCAAAGCGAAAGCGAGUCUUAAAAGGGCGAGAGUGUACGUUGGAGUAGACCCGAAACCUGGUGAUCUACCCAUGUCCAGAGUGAAGCUUUAGUAAAAUAAAGUGGAGGCUCGAACCGACCUUCGUUGAAAAGGAGGCGGAUGAGGUGUGGGUAGGGGUGAAAUGCCAAUCGAACCAGGAGAUAGCUGGUUCUCCCCGAAAUAGCUUUAGGGCUAGCCUCGGUGGAUGAAUAACGGAGGUAGAGCACUGAAUGGGCUAGGGGCCUUCACGGGUUACCGAACCCAAUCAAACUCCGAAUGCCGUUAUUUUAGAAACCGGGAGUCAGACUGCGGGUGCUAAGAUUCGUAGUCAAAAGGGAAACAGCCCAGACCAACAGCUAAGGUCCCAAAGAUAUACUAAGUGGAAAAGGAUGUGGGGUUGCUAAGACAACCAGGAUGUUGGCUUAGAAGCAGCCACCAUUUAAAGAGUGCGUAAUAGCUCACUGGUCAAGUGACCCUGCGCCGAAAAUGUAACGGGGCUAAGUAUAUCACCGAAGCUUUGGAUUCUCGAGGUUCGAUAUUCGAGAUUCGAUGUUCGAAAGGAAAACUCACAUGAUAAAAAUAAUCGAAUUUCGAAAUUCGAAUAUCGAACUUCGAGAAUGGUAGGGGAGCGUUCUUACCACAUUGAAGCAGUACCGAAAGGAGCUGUGGAGAGGUAAGAAGUGAGAAUGCCGGUAUGAGUAAGCGAAAAGGCAGGUGAGAAUCCUGCCCGCCGAAAACCUAAGGAUUUCUGGGGAAGGUUCGUCCGCCCAGAGUAAGUCGGGACCUAAGCCGAGGCCGCAAGGCGUAGGCGAUGGACAAUCGGUUGAAAAUCCGAUACCACCAAAAACCGUAUGAGGAUGGAGUGACGCAGGAGGGUAAGUUAAGCCAGCGGUUGGAAAAGCUGGUCCAAGCCCGUAGGGUGUAAGAUAGGCAAAUCCGUCUUACAUAAAACCUGAGAGGUGACGGGGAGCGAAAACAAGUAGCGAAGUAACUGAUCCCAAACUGCCAAGAAAAGCUUCUAACGAGGUUAGUUGGUGCCCGUACCGCAAACCGACACAGGUAGGUGGGGUGAGAAUCCUAAGGCGCGCGAGAGAACCCUCGUUAAGGAACUCGGCAAAAUGACCCCGUAACUUCGGGAGAAGGGGUGCCUCGGUAUCGUGAAAAUUGUACGAUUGGAGCGAGAAAAGGCCGCAGAGAAAAGGUCCAAGCGACUGUUUACCAAAAACACAGGUCCCUGCUAAAGCGAAAGCUGACGUAUAGGGGCUGACGCCUGCCCGGUGCUGGAAGGUUAAGGGGAAAUGUUAAGGAAACUGAAGCAUAGAACCGAAGCCCCAGUAAACGGCGGCCGUAACUAUAACGGUCCUAAGGUAGCGAAAUUCCUUGUCGGGUAAGUUCCGACCCGCACGAAAGGCGUAACGAUUUGGACACUGUCUCAACGAGGGGCUCGGUGAAAUUGUAAUGACGGUGAAGAUGCCGUCUACCUGCGACAGGACAGAAAGACCCCGUGGAGCUUUACUGUAGCUUGACAUUGGGUUUUGGUAUUUGAUGUACAGGAUAGGUGGGAGACUUAGAAGCUUGCACGCCAGUGUAGGUGGAGUCAGCGUUGGGAUACCACCCUUUAGAUAUUGAAAUUCUAACUAAAUUCCAUGAAGCUGGAAUGAGGACAGUGUCAGGUGGGCAGUUUGACUGGGGCGGUCGCCUCCCAAAAGGUAACGGAGGCGCCCAAAGGUUCCCUCAGUGCGGAAGGAAAUCGCACGUUAGAGUGUAAAGGCAAAAGGGAGCUUGACAGCGAGACCAACAAGUCGAGCUGGUACGAAAGUAGGGCUUAGUGAUCCGGCGGUUCUGAGUGGAAGGGCCGUCGCUCAACGGAUAAAAGCUACCCCGGGGAUAACAGGCUUAUCUCCCCCAAGAGUCCACAUCGACGGGGAGGUUUGGCACCUCGAUGUCGGCUCAUCGCAUCCUGGGGCUGAAGUAGGUCCCAAGGGUUGGGCUGUUCGCCCAUUAAAGCGGUACGUGAGCUGGGUUCAGAACGUCGUGAGACAGUUCGGUCCCUAUCCGUCGCAGGCGCAGGAAACUUGAGAAGAGCUGUCCCUAGUACGAGAGGACCGGGAUGGACGGACCGCUGGUGUACCAGCUAUCGUGCCAACGGUAGUGCUGGGUAACUAAGUCCGGAAGGGAUAAGUGCUGAAAGCAUCUAAGCACGAAGCCUCCUUCAAGAUGAGGUUUCCCACCUUCUCGAAGUUCGAGUUUUCGAACCACGAAUUUCGAACUUCGAGAAGGGUAAGAUCCCAUGAAGACUACAUGGUAGAUAGGCCGGGAGUGUAAGAGCAGCAAUGUUUUCAGCUGACCGGUACUAAUAGAUCGAGUUCUUGACCAA
rnacentral:rRNA from 1 species